rnacentral:rRNA from 1 species
CGCCUCCUGCACACUCAUAUGAGGUCCAGCCUGCCCAGUGAUUUUAUUAAACGGCCGCGGUAUCCUAACCGUGCGAAGGUAGCGUAAUCACUUGUUCUAUAAAUCAGGACUUGUAUGAACGGCAUCACGAAGGUUACACUGUCUCCUUUUUUUAAUCAGUGAAAUUAAUCUCCCUGUGAAAAAGCAGGGAUAGACCUAUAAGACGAGAAGACCCUAUGGAGCUUUAAACAUAUCAUAUUUGUUAUAUCUCAACACCUCUUUAUAACAACAUAUUUAUAGUUUUAGGUUGGGGUGACCGCGGCGAAAAACAAAACCCCCGCGUUGAAACCAAGCUAAGAACCACAAUUCUAGCAUCAAUAUUUUGACAAAAUUGAUCCAAAUAAUUGAACAACGAACCAAGUUACCCUAGGGAUAACAGCGCAAUCCACUUUAAGAGCUCAUAUCGACAAGUGGGCUUACGACCUCGAUGUUGGAUCAGGGUUUCCAAGUGGUGCAGCCGCUACUAAUGGUUUGUUUGUUCAACAAUUAAUACCCU